AUUAUUUUGGCAGAUUAGUGCAAUGAAUUUAGAAUUCACAUAUGUAAUUAUUUUACAAAUAAUA
rnacentral:tRNA from 1 species